rnacentral:rRNA from 1 species
UACGGGGGGGGCAAGCGUUGUUCGGAAUUACUGGGCGUAAAGGGCCAGUAGGCGGCCAACUAAGUCCGACGUGAAAUCCCCAGGCUUAACCUGGGAACUGCGUCGGAUACUGGAUGGCUUGAAUUCGGGAGAGGGAUGCAGAAUUCCAGGUGUAGCGGUGAAAUGCGUAGAUAUCUGGAGGAACACCGGUGGCGAAGGCGGCAUCCUGGACCAAUAUUGACGCUGAGGAGCGAAAGCCAGGGGAGCAAACGGG